rnacentral:tRNA from 1 species
GGCAGCUGCGAAAGCAGCGGGAGAAUGAAAAUCCGUUGACCGGUAAGGUCGUGAGGGUUCAAGUCCCUCCGCCCCCA